CUGGGGUUGUCGCUGACUUUUGAAAGGGUUGUGCACACCUCAGUGCUCUCGCACAUAAUCCAUCUCACCCCUUUUGUGCACCACCGCGUGGGGACCCCUUUUGGCUAGUUCCGAGGGGGGUUUUCACGUUUUUAUACAGACACCCUUUUUAAUGCAAUGUGUAGAAUGUCUUACUUUUUGCGAUCACACGCAAUCAAUACAACUUUCAACAACGGAUCUCUUGGCUCUCGCAUCGAUGAAGAACGCAGCGAAAUGCGAUACGUAAUGUGAAUUGCAGAAUUCAGUGAAUCAUCGAAUCUUUGAACGCACCUUGCGCCCUUUGGCAUUCCGAGGGGCACACCCGUUUGAGUGUCGUGACAUUCUCAAAACCAUCUUGGUUUCUUGACCAGGAAGGCUUUUGGACUUUGGAGGCUUUUGCUGGCUUUCCUUUGUUGGAGCCAGCUCCUCUGAAAUGGAUUAGUAGGGUCUGCUUUGCCAAUCCUUGACGUGAUAAGAUGUUUUCUACGUCUCGGGCUCUGCACUCCUGCUUCUAACCGUCUCACAGAAGACAAAACGGUCAAAGUGAUUGCCACUAUGACCCACGAACCUGACC
rnacentral:rRNA from 1 species